GGGUCAAAGUUUACUCAAUGAUGAGUUCGUGGCAAACCGUUCGUGGUGAACCGUUCGUGAACCGUUCGCGAACCGUUCGCGAACCAUUCGGGACAUCACUAUAUAUAUAUAUAUAAUAUUCUGGAUAGAGCUCUCAGGACUUUUCAAAUAGUAAAGCUAUUUCCUGAUGAAAGUUUGUGUGUAACAAACUGAAACGUAGAUUUUAUUUAUGUGAAGCUAAUUAAAAGCUAAGUUUUUCUAUUUGACAAGUCCUGAGGGUGUCAAAUAUAUGUAUUUUGCUUGACAAGCACUGGGCAAGUUACUGGAUUUAUGGAGUGCAAGAUCUUUUUAAAUUUUAUACAUAUACAUUUACUGGCCCUAUCCAUGGCAGCACAACAAUGGGUAGCUCCUCCCUAUGCCUAAUUAGACAGGAACCUAAUUAAAACAGAAGGUAUAAGUAACUCCUACCCCUUCCAUCCUCAGUCUUUUUGUUCCUGACCUAUUCCUAGGACAGACUUAGUCUUUUCAGGACUAAAAACUUUUUCUUUUAUGGCUUACCUGAAGAUAAUCUUUUUCUCUGGCCCCUUGGGAGUUCAGCCUCUCUCCCUAGGGAAGUCUCCAGUACACGGCCGUUCACAAAGGUGACCCCUUAGAGAAACCCCUUGAGUGACCAGGGGUUCUAACUUGCUGUGACCCGAGGGGUAGCAAGAUCAUGCCCUUGGGAACACAACCCUCCGCAAAGGUGGCCCCCUGGAGAAACCCCUUUAGUGACCAUGGGUUCUAACUUACCCUGAUGGGGUAGCAAGAUCAGGCCAUCACCAUAAUUCUUGCAGUGACCCAAGGAGUAGCAAGCUGGACAUGCACAUACAGAGCAUAUGGAUUGCAAGGAUUAAUAUGACAUUGACUAACAUUAAAUCGCUAAAAGAGUUAAUGUGAUGCUGACUAGCAUUCUAUCGCUGAAAGGGUUAAAGUGCAAUCCUGCUGUCUUGUACUUUCCCAUGGAUUUACUUGCUGUGACCAUAGGGGUAGCACGAUUAUACCAUCACCCUAUUUCCUGCAGUCACCAAAGAGUAACAGGCUGUGCAUGCACAUUCAGAGCAUAUAUAAGAAUAUAACUCCUCUUACCCUUCAUCAAUUUCAGCUGGAUGGUAAGAGAUUCCUGACAAUUUUCAUUUCAAGCAAAUAAAUGUUAAAAUCCUUCUUCCCAGGCAUCUGUGUAGGUUUCUGUUAUGCCUUUUAAUACAGCCGCUGGAUUCUCUUAUUGCUAGGCUUCUAUGGCUUUUGUAAAGACUUGUCUUUACCUGUGUGUCUCGCUUCCUCAAUUCCAACUCUCUCCCAAUGCUCAUUCAGUGUCUCCUUUCCCAAGGAUACCUCCUCCCCUCGUGCUGUCUCGGUUGGAGUUCCCCAAGGGUCUGUCCUUGGUCCCCUUCUAUUUUCUCUUUUUAUACAGCCUCUCUUGGCAAACUUAUUGCCUCUUUUGGAUUCCACUACCACACUAGGCCUAGGAAUAUGAAAAUCCAACUGCUAUAUAAAGAGGC